GAUGAACGCUGGCGGCGUGCCUAAUACAUGCAAGUCGAGCGAACAGAUAAGGAGCUUGCUCCUUUGACGUUAGCGGCGGACGGGUGAGUUACACGUGGAUAACCUACCUAUAAGACUGGGAUAACUUCGGGAAACCGGAGCUAAUACCGGAUAACAUAUUGAACCGCAUGGUUCAAUAGUGAAAGGCGGCUUUGCUGUCACUUAUAGAUGGAUCCGCGCCGUAUUAGCUAGUUGGUAAGGUAACGGCUUACCAAGGCAACGAUACGUAGCCGACCUGAGAGGGUGAUCGGCCACACUGGAACUGAGACACGGUCCAGACUCCUACGGGAGGCAGCAGUAGGGAAUCUUCCGCAAUGGGCGAAAGCCUGACGGAGCAACGCCGCGUGAGUGAUGAAGGUCUUCGGAUCGUAAAACUCUGUUAUCAGGGAAGAACAAAUGUGUAAGUAACUGUGCACAUCUUGACGGUACCUGAUCAGAAAGCCACGGCUAACUACGU
rnacentral:rRNA from 1 species